rnacentral:tRNA from 1 species
UCCCAGCUGGCUCGGUGAGUAAAGAAUCUGCCUGCAAUGCAGGAGACAUAGGUUCAAUCCCUGCGUUGGGAA